AAGGAGGAAAGAGGGGGGCAAAGAAGAAGAGGGUCGAGGAGUUGGGGUCUCUACCUUUUAUUUGGGCUGUGAUGUAAUCAUGUGUACUACCACGCACAGGUGAAGUGUGCAGGUGAGGUGCAUGUUGGGAAUAUGUGGUAGUUGCCAUAGCAACAGGCACACGAGGGUCCUUGUUGCCUAGGAGUUGCUUCACCGUUGGAUUCGGAGGCACCUAUAAACAGCUUCUGAUGCCGACGACUAGGACUGACCUCCUACUCUACAGCCUGAGACUGCAGUGAAAGCUCCUGCCUGUGCUCAGCCACCCUCAGCUCUGUCAUGGAUGAUCCGCUGCCACCUCCUGUGACCCCGCAUGGAGGAAGUGAGAGGUCUCGAGACAAACUGCCUUUCAAUGCUGGUUGUCCCAUGCUUGUCUCACCGCACCUGGACACCUCGUUCUCAGUUUUCUACAUAAAAAAACAAAGAGAAGGACAGAGGGGAGAGGAAGUCGGGGUGAGAAAACGAAAAUGUAUUUAAAGAACAAAAGUAAGUCCCAUAUGCAGCUGUUCAACUUCUAAGAAGUUCCUCAUUCCUUGAAUUAAAUUUAUCUACACACUCAC